CGGGGGAAAGAUUUAUCGCUACUAGAUGAGCCUAUGUUAGAUUAGCUAGUUGGUGGGGUAAUGGCCUACCAAGGCGGUGAUCUAUAGCUGGUUUGAGAGGACGAUCAGCCACACUGGAACUGAGAUACGGUCCAGACUCCUACGGGAGGCAGCAGUGGGGAAUAUUGGACAAUGGGCGCAAGCCUGAUCCAGCCAUGUCGCGUGAGUGAAGAAGGCCUUAGGGUUGUAAAACUCUUUCAG
rnacentral:rRNA from 1 species